rnacentral:rRNA from 1 species
AUACGGAGGGUGCAAGCGUUACUCGGAAUCACUGGGCGUAAAGCGCGCGCAGGCGGGCUGAUAAGUUGGAUGUGAAAGCCUACGGCUCAACCGUAGAACUGCAUCCAAAACUGUCAAGCUAGAGUCUGGGAGGGGAAGAUGGAAUUAGUUGUGUAGGGGUAAAAUCCGUAGAGAUAACUAGGAAUACCAAAAGCGAAGGCGAUCUUCUGGAACAGCACUGACGCUGAGGCGCGAAAGCGUGGGGAGCAAACAGGAUUAGAAACCCGAGUAGUCC